GAUUCGGUGCCAUUUAUGACUGAAAACUGUACUGAUUUAGAAAGGCGUGGACCAAUUCUUCCCAGUUGUGGAUUUUGGCAUUGUCAAGUUACCAGGCUUUAGCCUAUCCAGUGAGACUCUUUUGGAAAAGUUUCAUUCUGAGGUUUUCAUCUUCAGCAUAAGACCCUGACUUCCCCCUGGUAUGAAUGACUCUAGUUGAGUAGGCAUUGUUUGGCCCCGAGUGUUUUUACUUUGUUCUUUUAGAAAGACAGCCAAUUCUGCGAUCUGAUUCCUUAAUCCUUUGAACUCCUCGCGAGAGACAGGAGUAGGAUUAAACUGGUU
rnacentral:lncRNA from 1 species